rnacentral:rRNA from 1 species
GUGUCAGCAGCCGCGGUAAUACGGAGGGUGCGAGCGUUGUCCGGAUUUAUUGGGUUUAAAGGGUGCGUAGGCGGCCCGAUAAGUCAGCGGUGAAAGUCAGUGGCUCAACCAUUGGAGUGCCGUUGAUACUGUUGGGCUUGAGUGCGGUCUGGGUACAUGGAAUUUAUGGUGUAGCGGUGAAAUGCAUAGAUACCAUAAGGAACACCGAUAGCGUAGGCAUUGUACUGGGCCGUAACUGACGCUGAGGCACGAAAGCAUGGGUAGCGAACAGGAUUAGAUACCCUGGUAGUCCAUGCCGUAAACGAUGAUCACUCGCUGUCCUGCCCGUAGGGUGCGGCGGCCAAGCGAAAGCGUUAAGUGAUCCACCUGGGGAGUACGCCGGCAACGGUGAA